GUAGGUGGCAAGCGUUGUCCGGAAUUAUUGGGGCGUAAAGCGCGCGCAGGCGGGGUCCUUUAAGUCUGAUGUGAAAGCCCACGGGCUCAACCGUGGAGGGUCAUUGGAAACUGGGGGACUUGAGUACAGAAGAGGAAAGCGGAAUUCCACGUGUAGCGGUGAAAUGCGUAGAGAUGUGGAGGAACACCAGUGGCGAAGGCGGCUUUCUGGUCUGUAACUGACGCUGAGGCGCGAAAGCGUGGGGAGCAAACAGGAUUAGAUACCCUGGUAGUCCACGCCGUAAACGAUGAGUGCUAAGUGUUAGGGGGUUUCCGCCCCUUAGUGCUGCAGCUAACGCAUUAAGCACUCCGCCUGGGGAGUACGGCCGCAAGGCUG
rnacentral:rRNA from 1 species